rnacentral:tRNA from 1 species
GGUGCUGUGGCUUAAGCGGUAGAGCGCUUGCCUUGAGCUCAAGAGCGCAGGGACAGCACCC